GGGGAUAUAGCUCAGUUGGUAGAGUGCUUGCUUUGCAUGCAUAAGGCCCUGGGUUCAAUCCCCAGCACCA
rnacentral:tRNA from 1 species